rnacentral:lncRNA from 1 species
GGAGCCAGACAUGAUCGUCAAAUUGAUCUUCAGGAUGAAUUCUGCUAAGCGUUGCCACGGCAGCAGUGAGCAGCACGUAUAAACGUCUUCUAUCUGUCUUCUCCCCUGACAGCGACAGAGGUCUGCGCUGGCGUCGGUUACCGGGAAGCCUUUCAGAAGUACAUCCUGCCCAAAGAGAAAGUUCCUCAGCCUGGCCAGGUGAUGGAGAGGUCAGCGCCGGUGAUGAGGACGAUGGACAGAGUUCUUUCCGUAACUCGGAGCGACGGUUGGGUCUAGGGGUUACGGACGCGAGAACAGUGACUCUGGGUUCGAGGUCCGGAGUGGGAGAUACGGGGUGCCGUAGAGGAUUGUGGUCGUCUGGGAAGCGGUGGAAAGGCUCCAGGGUCCGAGAGAAGCAAGGGAAUGGCAGGCGGUGGCGGAUCCGAGGCCGACAGUAGCAGCCGAAGUGCGGAGAUGGAGGACGGAGUAAGGCGUCUGCCAUAGCGCUGGUGGGCCCACCGAAGGGCUCUGUCGAGGGCCUCUUUAUUAAAUGGCCCCAAGUUGGUGCGGAUCUGUUCUAUUGUGUGUGUAUAAUGUUUAAUUAAAGUCUUUAGAUUUAUGAUCAUGUAUUCCAUUGUGUUGUCUUUAAUUUGGUUUAAGACCAGAUCGUCA